CAGCAGUGGGGAAUAUUGCACAAUGGGCGCAAGCCUGAUGCAGCCAUGCCGCGUGUAUGAAGAAGGCCUUCGGGUUGUAAAGUACUUUCAGCAGUGAGGAAGGUGGGUAUGUUAAUAGCAUAUUCAUUUGACGUUAGCUGCAGAAGAAGCACCGGCUAACUCCGUGCCAGCAGCCGCGGUAAUACGGAGGGUGCGAGCGUUAAUCGGAAUUACUGGGCGUAAAGCGCAUGCAGGUGGUUUGUUAAGUCAGAUGUGAAAGCCCGGGGCUCAACCUCGGAAUUGCAUUUGAAACUGGCAAACUAGAGUACUGUAGAGGGGGUAGAAUUUCAGGUGUAGCGGUGAAAUGCGUAGAGAUCUGAAGGAAUACCGGUGGCGAAGGCGGCCCCCUGGACAGAUACUGACACUCAGAUGCGAAAGCGUGGGGAGCAAACAGGAUUAGAUCCCUGGUAG
rnacentral:rRNA from 1 species